AUGAGUCCAACAAUAACCUCAAAAAUCACCAUUCCAAGAACUUCAUCAGCAACACCUCUUGUCACAAUAAAGUCAACAACUGAACAUACAACAUUGGUUUUUACUACGCCAAGUAUGACCACAACUGUCACUACACCCUCCAUAACUACCUCAACAAAAAGGACCACAUCCAGUAAGCCGAUAUCUACACCUACUGCCUCACCAACCACUGCUUCAACAGAGACAGAAAAAGUAAGGGUCACUACACCACUCUUCGAGACCCCUACAAAAAAGGAAAUGACAACCACCUCUAUAUCUUCUCAUACUACAUCUCAGAUUGCAACCUCCAGCCAGCCUGAACUAACAACAGUAGGUAAAUACUGAUUGAUAUCUGUCAUGUGAAACCGUCACUCAAAAAACAUGUUAAUGGAUUCCUUGUAAUAAAAACAGGCAUUCUUACUAGAUGUCUUUAACA
rnacentral:lncRNA from 1 species